rnacentral:rRNA from 1 species
UACGGAGGGUGCGAGCGUUGUCCGGAAUUAUUGGGCGUAAAGAGCUCGUAGGUGGUCUGUCACGUCGGCUGUGAAAACCUGGGGCUCAACCCCGGGCCUGCAGCCGAUACGGGCAGACUAGAGUUCGGCAGGGGAGACUGGAAUUCCUGGUGUAGCGGUGAAAUGCGCAGAUAUCAGGAGGAACACCGGUGGCGAAGGCGGGUCUCUGGGCCGAUACUGACACUGAGGAGCGAAAGCGUGGGGAGCAAACAGG